rnacentral:rRNA from 1 species
AGUGAACGCUGGCGGUAGGCCUAACACAUGCAAGUCGAACGGCAGCACAGUAAGAGCUUGCUCUUACGGGUGGCGAGUGGCGGACGGGUGAGGAAUACAUCGGAAUCUACUUUUUCGUGGGGGAUAACGUAGGGAAACUUACGCUAAUACCGCAUACGACCUACGGGUGAAAGCAGGGGAUCUUCGGACCUUGCGCGAUUGAAUGAGCCGAUGUCGGAUUAGCUAGUUGGCGGGGUAAAGGCCCACCAAGGGGACGAUCCGUAGCUGGUCUGAGAGGAUGAACAGCAACACUGGAAGUGAGAGACGGUCCAGAAUCCUACGGGAGACAGCAGUGGGGAAUGUAGGACAGUAGGCGCAAACCUGGUCCAGACUUACCGCGUGAGUGAAGAAGGCCAUCGGGUUGUAAAGCCCUUUUGUUAGGAAAGAAAAGCAGCAGGUUAAUACCCGGCUGUUCUGACGGUACCCAAAGAAUAAGCGCCGGCUAACUUCGUG